rnacentral:rRNA from 1 species
UACGUAGGGGGCAAGCGUUGUCCGGAUUUAUUGGGCGUAAAGAGCGUGUAGGCGGCCUGAAAGAUCAGCUGUGAAAACUCGAGGCUCAACCUCGAGACGUCGGUUGAAACCAUCUGGCUAGAGUCCGGAAGAGGAGUGUGGAAUUCCCGGUGUAGCGGUGAAAUGCGCAGAUAUCGGGAAGAACACCCGUGGCGAAGGCGGCACUCUGGGACGGUACUGACGCUGAGACGCGAAAGCGUGGGGAGCGAACAGG